UAGGGAAUCUUCCACAAUGGACGAAAGUCUGAUGGAGCAACGCCGCGUGAGUGAAGAAGGUUUUCGGAUCGUAAAGCUCUGUUGUUGGUGAAGAAGGAUAGAGGCAGUAACUGGUCUUUAUUUGGCGGUAAUCAACCAGAAAGUCACGGCUAACUACGUGCCAC
rnacentral:rRNA from 1 species